UUCGGCUCCUAGCGGCAAACGGUCGAGUAACACGUAGAUAACCUGCCCGGAAGACGGGGAUAACAGCCCGAAAGGGCUGCUAAUACCGGAUGUGGAAGGAAGCGGCCUCGCUUCUUCUCUAAACGAGCAAUCGGCUUCCGGAUGGGUCUGCGGCCUAUCAGCUAGUUGGUGGGGUAACGGCCUACCAAGGCGACGACGGGUAGCUGGUCUGAGAGGAUGACCAGCCGGACGGGGACUGAGACACGGCCCCGACUCCUUCGGGAGGCAGCAAUGAGGAAUAUUGCGCAAUGGGGGAAACCCUGACGCAGCGACGCCGCGUGGGCGAGGAAGUCCUUCGGGAUGUAAAGCCCUUUUGUUGGGGACGAAAACAAUGACGGUACCCAACGAAUAAGCCCCGGCUAACUACGUGCCAGCAGCCGCGGUAAUACGUAGGGGGCAAGCGUUGUCCGGAUUUACUGGGCGUAAAGAGCGCGUAGGCGGGAGAGCAAGUCCGGUGUGAAAGCCCCCGGCUCAACCGGGGAAGGUCGUUGGAAACUGCUCUUCUUGAGGUGGACAGAGGGAAGUGGAAUUCCUGGUGUAGCGGUGAAAUGCGUAGAUAUCAGGAGGAACACCCAUGGCGAAGGCAGCUUCCUGGGUCCAGCCUGACGCUGAGGCGCGAAAGCGUGGGGAGCGAACGGGAUUAGAUACCCCGGUAGUCCACGCCGUAAACGAUGGUCACUAGGUGUAUGGGGUAUCGACCCCCCAUGUGCCGCAGCUAACGCAAUAAGUGACCCGCCUGGGGAGUACGGCCGCAA
rnacentral:rRNA from 1 species